UUGCUAAAUGUUCUUGCUUUCCAUCACUGUUGUUUCUGUUUGGAGGUCUACCAUUGAGUCUCCAGCAUCUCUCUCGGGUGUGCCGAUAUUUUUUUGCAAUAGGUGCAAUAAAGAUUGUCCCUAUUGAAUGGCGGUUUGUAUGAACCCGUGGACUUGAUGGUGCUCUCCGAUUGUGAAACUUCAAAUUCUUUUGAACUUGUCCUCUUUGCUACAAGAGCUGAUCCUUCAUUAAUUUGAGUUUCAAGCAUAACACUCCUCCGUCCUUCUUCUGUCCG
rnacentral:lncRNA from 1 species